rnacentral:rRNA from 1 species
AGAGUUUGAUCCUGGCUCAGAAUGAACGCUGGCGGCGUGGCUAAAACAUGCAAGUCGGACGCGAACGUUCUCUUCGGAGAACUAUUAGAGUGGCGAAAGGGCGAGGAAUACACGGGUAACGUACCCUUGGCACAAGGAUAGCUACGGGAAACUGUAGGUAAUACUUGAUGAGACCACAGUGUCAUAUGGCACAGUGAUCAAAGGGUGGGGAUCUCUUCGGAGACCUACCGGCCAGGGAGCGGCCCCUGUGCUAUCAGCUAGUUGGUGAGGUAAUGGCUCACCAAGGCGACGACGGCUACCGGGACUGAGAGGUCGAUCCGGCGCAUCGGGACUGAGACACUGCCCGGACUCCUACGGGAGGCUGCAGUAACGAAUAUUCCACAAUGGACGAAAGUCUGAUGGAGCGACGCCGCGUGCAGGAGGAAGCCCUUCGGGGUGUAAACUGCUGUCAGGGACUACCAAGCAAGCAGGCCUAACAGGUCUGUGCGUUGAGGAAUCCCACAGGAAGUCACGGCUAACUUCGUGCCAGCAGCCGCGGUAAUACGAAGGUGGCGAGCGUUAUUCGAAAUCACUGGGCUUAAAGAGCAUGUAGGCGGCCUAUCAAGCGUUGUGUGAAAUCCCUCGGCUCAACCGAGGAACUGCAUGGCGAACUGGUAGGCUUGAGGCAAGUAGGGGCGAGUGGAACUCUUGGUGGAGCGGUGGAAUGCGUAGAUAUCAAGAGGAACGUCGGAGGCGAAGGCGACUCGCUGGGCUUGACCUGACGCUGAGAUGCGAAAGCUAGGGUAGCGAACGGGAUUAGAUACCCCGGUAGUCCUAGCCCUAAACGAUGUCAACUAGACCGGAGGACUUCUGACAGUUUUCCGGUCGGAGCAAAAGUGUUAAGUUGACCGCCUGGGGAGUACGGUCGCAAGGCUAAAACUCAAAGGAAUUGACGGGGGCUCACACAAGCGGUGGAGCAUGUUGCUUAAUUCGAUGCAACGCGAAGAACCUUAUCCUGGGCUUGACAUGUUUGGAUGCCUACUGAGAGAUCAGGUCGGCUGCCCUUCGGGGUGAAACUUACACAGGUGCUGCAUGGCUGUCGUCAGCUCGUGUCGUGAGAUGU